UACGUAGGGUGCAAGCGUUGUCCGGAAUUAUUGGGCGUAAAGAGCUCGUAGGCGGUCUGUCGCGUCUGCUGUGAAAACUCGGGGCUUAACCCCGGGCCUGCAGUGGGUACGGGCAGACUAGAGUGCGGUAGGGGAGACUGGAAUUCCUGGUGUAGCGGUGAAAUGCGCAGAUAUCUGGAGGAACACCGGUGGCGAAGGCGGCGUCCUGGACCAACACUGACACUGAUGAGCGAAAGCCAGGGGAGCAAACGGG
rnacentral:rRNA from 1 species